CAGUGGGGAAUUUUGGACAAUGGGCGAAAGCCUGAUCCAGCAAUGCCGCGUGCAGGAUGAAGGCCUUCGGGUUGUAAACUGCUUUUGUACGGAACGAAAAAGCUUCUCCUAAUACGAGAGGCCCAUGACGGUACCGUAAGAAUAAGCACCGGCUAACUACGUGCCAGCAGCCGCGGUAAUACGUAGGGUGCGAGCGUUAAUCGGAAUUACUGGGCGUAAAGCGUGCGCAGGCGGUUAUGUAAGACAGAUGUGAAAUCCCCGGGCUCAACCUGGGAACUGCAUUUGUGACUGCAUGGCUAGAGUACGGUAGAGGGGGAUGGAAUUCCGCGUGUAGCAGUGAAAUGCGUAGAUAUGCGGAGGAACACCGAUGGCGAAGGCAAUCCCCUGGACCUGUACUGACGCUCAUGCACGAAAGCGUGGGGAGCAAACAGGAUUAGAUACCC
rnacentral:rRNA from 1 species